rnacentral:rRNA from 1 species
GAUGAACGCUGGCGGCGUGCCUAAUACAUGCAAGUCGAGCGAACGGACGAGAAGCUUGCUUCUCUGGUGUUAGCGGCGGACGGGGGAGUAACACGUGGAUAACCUACCUAUAAGACUGGGAUAACUUCGGGAAACCGGAGCUAAUACCGGAUAAUAUUUUGAACCGCAUGGUUCAAAAGUGAAAGACGGUCUUGCUGUCACUUAUAGAUGGAUCCGCGCUGCAUUAGCUAGUUGGUAAGGUAACGGCUUACCAAGGCAACGAUGCAUAGCCGACCUGAGAGGGUGAUCGGCCACACUGGAACUGAGACACGGUCCAGACUCCUACGGGAGGCAGCAGUAGGGAAUCUUCCGCAAUGGGCGAAAGCCUGACGGAGCAACGCCGCGUGAGUGAUGAAGGUCUUCGGAUCGUAAAACUCUGUUAUUAGGGAAGAACAUAUGUGUAAGUAACUGUGCACAUCUUGACGGUACCUAAUCAGAAAGCCACGGCUAACUACGUG